rnacentral:misc_RNA from 1 species
CAGAGUUUAACCACUCAAAACCAUUGUGAACCUUACCUCAACCGUUGCUUCGGCGGGCGGGCCCCAAAAGGCCCCCCCGGCCCCUCGCGGGCGCCCGCCGGAGGUAAACCGAACCCUUGAAUUGUAUGGCCUCUCUGAGUCUUCUGUACUGAAUAAGUCA